CCGCACACCGAACCGAUCCACGGCAGGAGCGGGGGACCCACAGGAAUCACCGCCUGUUCCGGUCUCCGGAACAAGCUAGGGGUCAAGCCGUGCGCGAGCACGGCCGGACAUCUCCAGUCCGCACCCGACAGCUCACCUCGCAGGCGCCGGAGAGGAAUU
rfam:Streptomyces scabiei 87.22 complete genome